GGGGGGCCUUGGCCUUGCUGCGGCCCCGCCUGGCCGGGCCCCGGCGGCGUCUGGGUCUGGCUGGGGAGGGUGAAGUCGGUGAACUCGAACUCGGAGCCCUGCGUGUCGGCGCCGAGCAGCUCGGCCUCCUCGGUGUCCAGGAAGGAGUGUUUUAAAACUUAGAGGAUCCCAGGAUGGUUGGGGUUGGAAGGACCUUAAAGCCCAUCCAGUUCCACCCCCUUCACACCUUUCCACACCUUCCACAAGCCCAGGUUGCUCCAAGCCCUGUCCUGGCCUUGGAAACGAAUCUUCAGAUGAAAAUUCCUUCAACUUUUACCUCACGUCCAGCUGUGGCUGCAGAAAGGAUUCCCAGAACAAGGCAUGGGGACAUCAAGCACCGAGGGAAAGAGGAGCAGGAGAUUUGGAGAUUUUUCUCCAGUGAUCUGGGAUGGAAAAGGUCCUUGGAGAUGAUGAGGGACGUUUAAAAAAGGGGGCACGGCCAUCCCUGUCCAUGGGAUCUCUCCAGAGCAGAUGUUUUUGGAUCCGAGCUGGAAAACAAAAGCGUCGUGGAAUUCCUGGCAGCCCUCCCUGGGCAGAUGGAGGUGAUUGAGUGUGAUGGGAAAGCCAGGCCCUCACAGAGGGUUCAGAGCCUGCUGGAACUUCCCCAGUUUCCCAGCCUGCUCCUCAGGAGGGAUCCCCCCUGCCCUAAACUGCCUCCUGGGGGUCCCCCACAUGGGAUUUAAGAGCCCCUGGCCCCUCAGGACCUGCUCUGGAUCUCAUCCAACCUGCCCCCGACCGGGCUUCCAGCGGCACUUCCAGGUGAAUUGCCCAGGCAUCCUUGGCCUGUGCCUGAGGCAGAGCUCUCAGGGGGAAGGCAGCUGGGAGGACAAGGAGUAAAGAGCUGGGAAAAGGCCUGGAAGAGCCAUGGAAAAGCAGAGAUCAGGAGCCUGCCCAGGCUGCUCCCUCCAGAGUCACCUAGAACAGCCUUUCCAAAAGCGGUGCCGGUCGGGAUUCACCGCCCAGAAGUUGCUGCAGGUGCUCUGAUGGAAGCUGCUGGAAUUCCAGGCCGGUCCUGGAGCCUGGAAACGGCAAACCUGGGGCUGUUUUCAGCGGGAAAGGUCAUUACUGGCCUUGAUUUAUGAUCAAACAGAAGUUUGCGAGUGGUUCCUCAGCCCCGCUCCAGAAAAUCCAUGAGCCUGAUGUCACAUGGAGGAGGCCCAGGAGUAUUUUCCAUCCAUAGGAUGAGGACAGAGCAAAGAUGCUCCGGGAAGCUCCUGGCAUGGCAGUGACAUUCCAGCCUCAGGCAGGACGUGACUUUGUGCUGGAAGAAAAGGGAGAUUGCAAAAGGGACAUGGAGAAGGCCUGGAGAGCAAUAAUCCCAAAGAGCACCUCGGGGAUGAUGUCAUUUCAACCAGGGGAGGAAGGUGGAACGUUGGGCAACGAAUUCCUUCGGAGCAGGAGCGAGCCAGGGCCACCAGCCAAGAGGGGGAAGAACUCCCACAGCACUUCAGGGAGCCAAACUUUGGGAUAGAUGGAGCACUGGAACAGCCUGGAAGAUUGCUGUGAUCCCAGAUGAUCCCAGAGUGAUCCCAGAGUGAUCCCUGUGAUCCCAGACUGAUCCCAGAGUGGUCCCCAUGAUCCCAGGCUGAUCCUGAGCUGCUCCCUUGGGGCUCAGCCCAACACCAGUGAAAACCUCCGUCCUCCUCCUUGGCUGAGGGAUCCAAAAGGCUGCCACAAACCCAGGGAUGUGAUUCCUGUGGACUCCAUGACUUGAGGAACAGCGGGAAACAGCAAAACUGCCCCGUGAGAACCUGGUGUUGGGUGUAGGUUUUGGUUUGGAGGUGCUGCAGGUGGUCUGGACUGAUGGCUCAUCCUCAGGGUGGGGUAAAGGAAUAGCCCUUUCCAUAUAAUUCUGAGCAAAUUCCCUCCAGUUCAGCCUUAAAAAGUUGAAGGCCUGGCCAGCUUUGCAUAAACCUUGCACCUUUUGUCUUUUUUCAUCCCUUCUCUUCCCUAUCCCACUCAGAGGCCACCACAAACCUCAGCUGGGGGGACAACAAGAAAAUAAAGAAAGAGGACCAAAGCAAAGCACUGCAAGGGGCACCUGCAGCUCUGCAGUGGCCAAGGCUCCUGUUUUAUGAGGAGGUUCAGAACUUGGAUCUCUCCAGAAACAACUUCUCUUCCCGCUGCGUUGGGAGCAGCUCCCAGCUGUGCCUGGGAGCCAGGGAAUGACCUCAGGCUGUCCAGAUCAGGUUUUGCUGAGUGCACAGGGUUAGGCCUUUCCAGAAAUCCUCCCCUCCAAACCAUCAUGCCUUGGGGGGUUGAUUUCCUGGGGAAAUCUUGGCCUGCACAGGAGCCCUUUGGUCAGUAUUUCAGCCUCGGCUCCGGAUGGAAAUCGCUUUUGCCAUCCCCGUUUAUCCACCCGAGGCCUGGGGGGUUCCUGGAAUGGUGUGUGCUUUUCCUGGAAGAAGGAAUGGCUUGUGCAGAAAGCCUGCAAAGGCUGAGGGGACGUCCAGGAGGGAGUUUUUUGAGGGGGGCAGCUCUUGGAGUCCAACCAUUUUCGGGGGUAUCACUCCCACCCAACGUGCCCUGGCUUGAGGGGAGCUCAAUGGGACAUCCUGCCUGCUGUGCUGGCCAAAAUUGGGCUUUAUUGAAGGAACUGCAAAAAGGGCAGAGGCCCAAACUUCUCAUUUCCAGGAGGGGGAUUAAAAUCAAUCUGUGCCCAUCACCAUCAGGAACAACCUGUGCUCUUCCCCUUUGGAUAAGAAGUUCAGGUGAACUUUAGAUCUUUGCACAGACCACGAUCCUGAAAGAUGUCAGGGGGAAAAAAAGAGCAGAUUUGCUUCUGUUUUUCAGCUUUGGGUGGGGUCGGGAGAAGGAAUUGCCAGAAAUUCUCCAGAGCCAGCUCGUCCCUGUGAGGUUUUCUGGGCUGAUAUUUUCCUGAAAACUCCAGAGGUUUGGAUUAGUCCCUGCUCUCCAUCGUCCUGGAGAGCUUCCCACCCCUUGUGAGCCUGUUUUUCCAUUUCUCUGGGGGCGAGAAAAAGAAGUGAAACACAUCCCCAAAACAACCCUCCAGCCUGGAUGAUGCUGAAUUUUCCUGUGAGUUCAUCAGUGAUGUGCAAAGAAGCGCCAUUUUCGGACUCAGCCAGUGCUCUGUAAUGUCUCAAAGCUCAGAAAACACAACAUGUGUGUGAGGAGAGAGCUGAGGGCCAGGAAAACAGGGGGUUGGGAGCCAGGGAGCCCUCAGGUUGGGGAAAGGGGCAGCUCUCCCAGCGCAGCUGUUUUUAAUUUAACCCUUUUAAUUAAUUCUUUUGGCCUGCACCUGCCAAUGGCCUGGAGGAGGCAGCACAGGUGGGCUCCACCCAGGGAGAAGGUUUAUUCUUGUCUGCUUGAGGUCUAAGAUCAGUUUUAGGAGGGGAUGAGCAAAAAAAACCAAAAAGGCUGAGGCAAAGCUCUGCUCUCCCACUCCCCUAAGAGGAGGGAGGAUUUGGGUGGGAUGCUGAGGCUCUGUUAUAAUAAGAAACUCAUUUUCUUUUUCAGGGUCCUCAUUUUACAUCUGGAUUAUGAGAGCACUUUAGAGAACAACCUUGACAAUUUGCUGGUGCUUCCUUUAUCCCUCUAUUCUUUGUGCCCUCCAUGAACCCCCUGAUUCCUCAGCAGCUGAAGAAAGAAGAGAAUCUUCAUUGCCAUUCACAAAGGCUUUUUUUCCCCCAUUUCCCUGGUGUAAGAAAAAGACAAAUUUCCUCACACAAGUGCUAAAUGUCUAUAUUAAAACUGAAUUUAAGUGUC